AUUGAACGCUGGCGGCAUGCCUUACACAUGCAAGUCGAACGGCAGCACGGGAGCAAUCCUGGUGGCGAGUGGCGAACGGGUGAGUAAUAUAUCGGAACGUGCCCAGUAGUGGGGGGAUAGCCCGGCGAAAGCCGGAUUAAUACCGCAUGAGACCUGAGGGUGAAAGCGGGGGAUCGCAAGACCUCGCGCUAUUGGAGCGGCCGAUAUCAGAUUAGCUAGUUGGUGGGGUAAAGGCCUACCAAGGCAACGAUCUGUAGUUGGUCUGAGAGGACGACCAGCCACACUGGGACUGAGACACGGCCCAGACUCCUACGGAGGCAGCAGUGGGGAAUUUUGGGACAAUGGGCGCAAGCCUGAUCCAGCAAUGCCGCGUGCAGGAAGAAGGCCUCGGGUUGUAACUGACUUUGUCUAGGGAGAAAGUCC
rnacentral:rRNA from 1 species